rnacentral:rRNA from 1 species
ACUCCUACGGGAGGCAGCAGUGGGGAAUAUUGCACAAUGGAGGAAACUCUGAUGCAGCAACGCCGCGUGGAGGAUGACACAUUUCGGUGCGUAAACUCCUUUUAUAUGGGAAGAUAAUGACGGUACCAUAUGAAUAAGCACCGGCUAACUCCGUGCCAGCAGCCGCGGUAAUACGGAGGGUGCAAGCGUUACUCGGAAUCACUGGGCGUAAAGCGCGCGCAGGCGGCUAUUUAAGUUGGAUGUGAAAGCCUACGGCUCAACCGUAGAACUGCAUCCAAAACUAUUUAGCUAGAGUGUGGGAGAGGAAGAUGGAAUUAGUUGUGUAGGGGUAAAAUCCGUAGAGAUAACUAGGAAUACCAAAAGCGAAGGCAAUCUUCUGGAACACUACUGACGCUGAGGCGCGAAGGCGUGGGGAGCAAACAGGAUUAGAUACCCUGGUAGUCCACGCAGUAAACGAUGAAUGUUAGUCGUCGGGUAGCUAGUCUAUUCGGUGAUGCAGCUAACGCAUUAAACAUUCCGCCUGGGGAGUACGGUCGCAAGAUUAAAACUCAAAGGAAUAGACGGGGACCCGCACAAGUGGUGGAGCAUGUGGUUUAAUUCGAAGAUACGCGAAGAACCUUACCUAGCCUUGACAUAUUUUAGAACUCCGCAGAGAUGCAGAGGUGCCUCCGGGAGCUAAUUUACAGGUGCUGCACGGCUGUCGUCAGCUCGUGUCGUGAGAUGUUGGGUUAAGUCCCGCAACGAGCGCAACCCUCGUCACUAGUUACUAACGGUUCGGCCGAGGACUCUAGUGAGACUGCCUUCGUAAGGAGGAGGAAGGUGAGGACGACGUCAAGUCAUCAUGGCCCUUACGGCUAGGGCAACACACGUGCUACAAUGGCCAGGACAGUGAGACGCAAUACCGCGAGGUGGAGCAAAUCUAUAAACCUGGUCUCAGUUCGGAUUGUAGUCUGCAACUCGACUACAUGAAGCUGGAAAUCACUAGUAAAUCGUAGAUCAGCUAUGCUACGGUGAAUACGUUCCGGAUCUUGCACCUCACCGCCCGUUCAUUCACUAGUGGAUUUCGUCGACCGCCCUGCCCAGGUCGGAUCAU